rnacentral:rRNA from 1 species
AGUGAACGCUGGCGGUAGGCCUAACACAUGCAGGUCGAACGGCAGCACAGUAAGAGCUUGCUCUUACGGGUGGCGAGUGGCGGACGGGUGAGGAAUACAUCGGAAUCUACUUUUUCGUGGGGGAUAACGUAGGGAAACUUACGCUAAUACCGCAUACGACCUACGGGUGAAAGCAGGGGAUCUUCGGACCUUGCGCGAUUGAAUGAGCCGAUGUCGGAUUAGCUAGUUGGCGGGGUAAAGGCCCACCAAGGCGACGAUCCGUAGCUGGUCUGAGAGGAUGAUCAGCCACACUGGAACUGAGACACGGUCCAGACUCCUACGGGAGGCAGCAGUGGGGAAUAUUGGACAAUGGGCGCAAGCCUGACCCAGCCAUACCGCGUGGGUGAAGAAGGCCUUCGGGUUGUAAAGCCCUUUUGUUGGGAAAGAAAAGCAGCAGGUUAAUACCCCGCUGUUCUGACGGUACCCAAAGAAUAAGCACCGGCUAACUUCGUG